rnacentral:rRNA from 1 species
UACGAGGGGGGCAAGCGUUGUUCGGAAUUAUUGGGCGUAAAGGGCGCGUAGGCGGUGCGGUAAGUCACCUGUGAAAACUCUGGGCUCAACUCAGAGCCUGCAGGCGAAACUGCCGUGCUUGAGUGUGGGAGAGGUGCGUGGAAUUCCCGGUGUAGCGGUGAAAUGCGUAGAUAUCAGGAGGAACACCAAUAGCGAAGGCAGCUCGCUGGGACGGUACUGACGCUAAGGCGCGAAAGCGUGGGGAGCGAACAGG